rnacentral:lncRNA from 7 species
UUUGGGCAUUUUCUAUGGUGCUUGGGAUGGGGAGAAUGCAGAGCCGACUGGAGCCUGAACCUGAGUGACAACCCUGACUUCUCCUGGCACAUCUCAAGAGCAAGACUUUGUCACCAGGCUUACAUGGCCAAGUGCUCAAGAAGGUCACGGUGAACACAGCAAGAGGAAGGUUUCUCAUAUUCAGCUCCAAGGCUUACAUCUGUACACUUGACAAGGCUGCCCAUACUCCUGCUAGCAUGUCCAGUGGACCCAAAUUCCUGCAGCCCUUUCACCCAAGGCCAUGCUUCCCAUCAAACACAGCACAGCAGCCCCACCUGCCAAAUCACCCAACUCUCCCCCCUUUGCCAGACAAGCCAGCAUCUCAAGUACUGAUCUGACAAAGCAGCCUGGAAAAUCCCUGUUUUUGAAGAGCCACUUAAGUGUUCAUUAUUUUGCCAGGGUAGAAAUACCUGUGCAGGAGGAAAGCCUUCCCUAACUUUCAUUUACUAGUGAAAGUGAGCUUACCUCUUUGUUAAUUGCUUCUCUUGCUUUCUGGCAUUCUGCAUGCUCCAAAACACUUUUUAUGCCUCCAUCACGUUUCCUCCUGCUAAGUAUCCCAAGAGUGUCCCCUCCCUGUGCCAUCAGGGGUUACCCAGAGCCUGGCCACCUCUCUGACCAGUGGAGCUGUCUCAUGCCCGUGGUCUCUAGUUUUUUCCUGGCUGCCCUGUCAUUUGGGUUAGUGCUCCACCCCUACAGCCUACCCAAUGGAUUUACUAGAAUUUGCCUUCUAAAUACACUUGACAGCCCAGCGGAAAGUUUCCUCUCCUUUCCCUUAUAUCUGCAGCUUUAGUGUGUGCAGAAGUACUCCUCAAGGUAAAAACAGGGCCCUAAAUAAUGAUGAGGGAGUGGGAGCAGAAAUGUGGGAAGGGUGUACAGAGGGAGCAACAGCAAACUGAGUGAAUUGCCUGUACCUUGCAUGUUGUCUGAAAUGAAAUUCACACUUUUCCAUUAUGCUGUAACAGAUUUAAUUUCUGCAGUUUAACAUCUAGCAAUGAAGAAUAGUAUUAAGUUUUUCAAAUUGCAUUAAAUGCUGGGGAUGCCUUGUUACUCCUGCCCUAUGUCUAUGGGAUAUUUUAGUUGCUUUUGGCUGCAGGGGGGUGAGGAUGCAUUUGUUUUAGCUUU